UAAGAUUCUGCUUGGAAAAAUGUAGCUAAUUGACAUGGGAAAAUUAAUGUACAUGGUGUUUUACAUGAACAUAAGUGUGCAGGCAUGGCCAAAGUACCUGAAGACAGAGUUUGAGGGUAUCAGACAUUUGUGAUUUGAGUCACCAGUACAUGGAAUAAGCCACUUCCAGCAGCUUCCCAGCUUCAAUCCCUCUGUGAUCAGAUGCCCUCAGCCUCCAAUAGCAUUACUCUAGUAUUUUCUGGAAGCUGUGCCUGUGUAAGUGUCCCCUGUUACACAGACAGAAAGGAAGGCUAAAAAAGAAAGCAGAGGUGGGAGAACCUUGGCUGCUGGACUGGCCAUGGAGACCCACCCAAGGCAGUGACCUGGAGGAGCACGUCUUGGUGACACCACAGGGGUUUUGAGGGUGGUCUUCUACCUCUAAUCCCUUUCCCUCUCCCUGGUAAAGAUCAAAGACGUGACAUGAAAGGGAAUGGUUGAGAGGAUGAGCAGGAGAGAGGGAGGGGGAGAACGCCCAGAGUGCUGCAGGAGGUGAGGUUUCCCAGGGAGAGAAAUCAAGAGAUUUCAUCAGCCUGUGCUGGGAGUAAUCUGGCUGUUCUGGGAUGCCAUCCGGGCGUGCUGGGGCGGUUUAGGAAGCCAUCUAGCUGUAAUUCCCUGCCAGUUGUCUGACUUCCCUUAAAAGGAUCCAUCCAGCAUUGUUCAAGGAUUGAUCCUCCACUGGCACAACUCCCAGGUGUCGUUUCCCAGGCAAGAGAGGAGUCGGGGAUGCAUCUUUAUGCAAACCCCACCGAGACAGGCUGGUGGAGGUGCUCGAGGAAGCAGCACAAACUCCAAGACCAUCCGAGCCUCUCUGGGAUCAUCUGCCGCGUCAUUCCCUGCCCCGCCAGCGCACGGCACUGCCUGCACAAGUGGAGUUUCUCCAGGGGCUGUGGAUCAGGAUUCAGCCUCACCUGGCAGCUGGGAGAGCUCGGAGCUGGACUGUGGCACCAAACACUUCCAGAGCGGCCGGGAGCCGGAGCCACCGGGCAGGGGAGCGCUUGGGAUCAGGGGCUGGACCUCGGGAGAGCAGCGGGAGCCACUGGGAUGGCCGUGGGGAAGGGGGUCCCUACCUGAGUCCUGUUCAGUUGGCACUUUGUGCGGACAACGAAAAUCAAAACGAUGACGACCACAGUGCUGACCACGGUGAGGAGGAUCCACACGUCGUAGUCUGGCUGUUGGAUAAAACAGGAGAGAAAUUACUCUUGUGUGGCAGACUUGGGAAUAAGAGGCUUGGCAGGGGUCUCCCAAUCUCUUCUGGCCCAUCAGCCUUUGAACACAGGGCCAAGUUCUACCUCUGUGCUCUUUACAGGAAAAGGAAAAAAGGGUUCGGCCUUUUUUUUGGACAUCCCACCAAGAAUGGAAAAUCUCUGUCUUGCAGCAUCUCAGCUCCCCCAGUGCCACAGUCUAAGGCAGCAUAAGAUGAGAAAACCAAGGCUUGGUCUCCCCUGAAGAGACAGAGAACCUCACCUCACCUCACUCGUGGCGUUGGAGCAAAAGACACUAAAUAAGCUGAAAGUGCUUUUGAGCCUUUAUUUGCAGCAGGUCAUCUGAAUGCUACAGACAGCUCCUGCCAAGGGCUCUGAUCUCUGUCCCUUGGGAGCAAAGCUCUGGGAAAGCCCUGUGCUGUGGCUUGGGAGGGAGGAUGUGGGAGGCAGUGGGAAUGGUGUGUGCCUCACCCAGGCUGGUGGCUCCUUGACCUCUAUCUUCACAUGGGCCUCUCUGUUCUUGUUCACGACGCUCAUGAGCUGCUCGGCAUCGUGGCCCCUGAUCAGAACCACAGGCUGGCUCAGGCCUCUGGGCUUCCUCAGCUGCAAAGGAACAAACACAGUGAGAGCUGGUCCAGAACAGCCUGGAAAAGGACAAUCCUGGUCCCCCAGGCACGUCUGGUCCUCCUAAUGCUUCUUGCACACACUUCAGAGACUGACUGCUCCCCCAGAUCUGUACUGUCUCUCUAGGAUGAAUAUGAAUCAGAUUGAAGCUCCUCCUCUUGUACCAACUCUCCAGCAUUGGGAAAAUACUCAAUUUUCCCUGCUGGUGAGUCCUCAUGCCCAGCUGGACACUGCUUGGUGUCUCUUGAGCUCCUCUUCAAGCCCCUGUGCGAAAGUUCUUUGUGUCUCCUCUUCCCUGUGGGAACUGCCAACAGCACUGCCUAGUGCUGCCUUCCCACAGAAAUGCUUCCUCUGCUCUUCCUGUGAGACCCAUCCAGUUCCCCUCCUCCCUGAGGACAUUCUGGUUGUUCCUGGUCAUACUGGCACGGGCUGGCUCAGCAAGUGUCCAAGCCUGCUCCCCUCCAGACUGACCUGGACUGGACCAGGGUGGCCAUCGGACCCACUGAUCACUUCCCAUGCCCUGGGGGGUGCUGGGGGCACCCAGAGGUGGGUGCCUGGGUCUGGGGACAGGGAUGUGAGUGGAGGUGCAGAUGGUCGUGAAGACCACGGAGGCUGCAGGGUCUGAGUUGUUGAGAGUUGCCACUCUUGGCUUUGGUACUGCAGAUGGGGAAGCUGGGAAAGUGGGAUCAGAGGCUCAGAGGGAUCAGACUGGGAUCUGAGCAACCCUGGAGUCACCUCAUGGACCUGCACUCGCUGCUGCCUUUCUCUGGCAUCAGAAAUUAAUCUGUAAGUGCAUAAAAGAGCCAGGAGGGAUGGAUCCAGCAAGGAGUCAGCCCAGAGUUUGGAUAAGCUCAGGCACCAGCUCCCCUGUCUGUCCUCAGUCGAAUGCUGGAUGCUUUUCAUUAUCCCUGGAACAUUUGGAUAGGGAACUGAUUCCAUUCCAGAGAUGACAGCAAUGCUGGGGGAAGAGACCUUUGAAGGUCUCUAAACCUGCACCAAGAGUGUUGCAGGGAGGGCUGUGACUUGGGCUUGAAAACUUGAGAAGUCACCUUUCCCUAGAGGUAAACUGAGCUGUCUGGAGUAGAUGAAAUUAGGAAAUCCAUGACUUCCCAAGAGGAAGCAUCCAGCUCCUGGCAGAAAAGCUCAACUGACCAGAUAAUGUCCUCUGAGAGUGUAGGUGUGCCCUGGAGUGAAGGAAAGAGGAACCAACUCUUCAUGGGUGAGUGGGGUGAGAGCCAACAUCCAACACCAGCUGGGACCUGGGACUUUCUGCUGGUGGCUGGUGGGUCCUGAUGGACACGUUUUGGGAUGGGACAGGAGCACUGUGGUUUAGCUGAGAGUAUUAAUGGGGUCUGUACCUGAUCAGCAGCACUUUCAUCGUCAGUAAUGUCGAAAAGGAUGGCACGGGCUCCACGCUCCCCCGCCAGCUUCGCCUGUCCAAAACAACAGAAGCUUCAGCGGACACUGCACUGUCCCCUGUGUCAACACCCACCAUUUGGAUCCAGGUCUGCCUCCCAGGUUCUUUGCAGGGAAAGAAGCACCUGCUUAGACUGAGGAAACCAUUUACACUUUGAUUCCUGUGCUUGUGUUGGGCUGCAGUGCCCACUCCUGCCAGAGCUCUGGGGCUCCUUCUCCCUAUGGCUGUGGAGAUGAAUUAGUUGGUGGCCUUGCAAUCACAGCAGGACACAAACCUAAACAUUCCCCAGCUGCCUGUGCCAUGUGCCCCUUUGCUUCAGAGCUGGAUUUGCUGGGGAGGGAUCUGCUGACCUACACAACCCUCCCAGGAGAGCAGAAUCCUCCACGUCCCACCUCUCACUGUGGGGCAUCUUCAGUGCCCUCCUUUGGAUGGCCCUGGGCUGUCUGAGGGCCUGACUGCCACACACGCUGCUCUCCCUGGUCCCUGUCCCUGCACUCCUCAGGGAGCAGCUCAGGCAGUGCCCGGACUGCAGAUCUGCUCUCGGAUGAGGAGCGGGAUGGCUUUCCACAGCUCAGCUUAAAGACCCACCCAUCUGAGCUCACAUGCCACCCUGGUGAGGUAAAGCUCACUGCCUGGGGACCUCGUGGGGUCACCCACCUCCUCCCAGCCGGCCCUGGGAGCCCUCUGGGCAGGCAGAGGCAGCCUGAGGAGAUGGAACGUGAACAGAACGCAGGGCUGGGCUGCUCUUACUCAGGCGGAGCCCUUUGAUCCUGCGUCCCGAGCCUGUGCAAACAGGGAGCAGUUCACCCUCUGCAGGGCCAAACCCCAGCUCGGGGGCCAGAGGUCAGAGCUGCCGCUUCCCAGCUGCAAUAUCAAACACAGGGAGCUGGCUGGGCCCAGGGAUGGGGCAUUCCUGGCAUGGAGAGCGGCAGCUGAGCGGGAUCUGCUCCAUCCCUCACACAGUCACAGAGUCACAGAAUGUGCUGAGCUGGGAGGGACCCCCAAGGAUCACGGAGUCCAACCCUCAGCCCUGCACAGGCCCAGCCCCAAGAGUCACCCCCUGUGCCCCAGAGGAUCAGCCAAACCCUCCCUGAGCUCUGGCAGCCUUGGGGCUGUGCCCACUGCCCUGGGGAGCCUGGGCAGUGCCCAACCAGCCUCUGGGGGAAGAACCUUUGCCUGAGAUCCAACCUGAGCCUGCCCUGACACAGCUCCAGCCAUUCCCUGGCUGCUGUCCCUGGUCCCCCCAGAGCAGAGCUCAGUCCCUGCCCCUCCUCUGCCCCUGCCCAGGAAGGUGGAACUGCAGUGAGGUCUCCCCUCAGUCUCCUCAAGUGCCCUCAGUGCCCUCACACGGCUUCAAAUCAAGGCCCUUCCCCAUCUUCAUUGCCCUCCUUUGGACACUCUCUAAUGGCUUCAUAACUUUCUGUGUCCCCCCAAACUGCCCCAGUUUUGCAGGUGAGGCCACCCCAGGGCAGAGCAGAGCAGGACAAUCAUGCUCACAAGUGCUGGUCACCUCCACACCCCUCGUGGGGGAGAAGCUGGGGGCACCCAGAGGGUGUGUCUGGGUCUGGACACAGGACAGGGACGUGAGGGGAGGUGAAGAUGGUCAGGAAGGUCACAGGGGUUGAAGGCUCUGAGCUGCUGACAGGAUUUGACACUCGUGGGUUUGCUGUACCAGAUGGGGAAGCUGGAAAAGUGGGAUCAAGGCUCAACUCGGAGCAGGGAUCAGAGACUGGGGUCCUGCCUGGGAUCAAACAAUCCUCAUUGUCUGCCAGCACUGAGGAGGACUUUCAGGGAUUGACUUCCACCUGUUGGAGCCAGUCAGGCUUUGAUGAACAAACAGCUCUACACAGAUUUUAUCCUGCUAAAGACACCAACAACGGGGCAACGAACAACUGAGACUGGACAAGUGACUCUUCCCAACACCUUUCUGACUCCUGUUGCAAAGGACACAACUUCUGGUGACCAGUGACAGGACUCAGGGAAGGGCUGCAGCUGUGGAGGGUCAGGUUGGAUCUCAGCCAAAGGUUCUUCCCCCAGAGGCUGGUUGGGCACUGCCCAGGCUCCCCAGGGCAGUGGGCACAGCCCCAAGGCUGCCAGAGCUCAGGGAGGGUUUGGAUGAUACUCUCAGGGACAGGGUAGGAUUGUUGAGGUGUCUGUGCAGGGCCAGGAGUUGGAGUGGAUGAUGCUUGUGGGUCCUUUCCAACUCAGGAUAUUCCAUGAUUCUCUAUGAUUCUGUUCCAGCCAUUCACAACCUGCUUGCUGCAAUCAUUUCCUGAGUGUUUGCUGUCCCUGUGCUGGAUCCCUUCAGCCACAAGGCACUGCCAACCUCCUCUUUGAGGACCAAAACAUUUUUGGUGCAAAUAUAUAUUUACAGGAUGAUUUCAGAGCUUUCAGCAAGAGCUGACAGCAUUCUGUCAACCAGACGUGCAAUCAACGGUCCACUCAGAAAACAAACAAAAUUAUAAAUGAAAAAUGAAAGAAAAAUAAAUCCCUUUGAUCCUG